rnacentral:lncRNA from 1 species
GAGGCAGAACCAUUUCAAGAAACUUGCCAUACAAAUGAUAAUAACUAAAAGCAACAAAACCUUGCAUCCGGACCUCUUUGGCGAUCAGUGACGUUAAGUUGUGCACACCUUCAGGCUUUUCAAGGUUGUACUGUGAGAUCAUCCCGCAAACUGCAAUUCGGCCACGGGAUCUCAUGUUCAAUAGCACUGCAUCAAGCAUCUUUCCUCCAACAUUCUCAUAGUAAAUAUCGAUACCUUCAGGGAAGCACCUGGUUUUAAAGCAAAUGACACAUAUCAGACUAGGACUAGCUGUACGAAAAGAACGACAAUGCGGGAAGUCCAGUAUGUAUAGAUCUCUAAAGAAUAAUGACCUUUUCAAAGCUGCAUCCAAGUUGGAUUCCUCUUUAUAAUUGAAAGCCUCGUCAAACCCAAAUGUGUUCUUCAGCAAAUCGACCUAAGUUACACAAAGAUAUACUGUUAAAGCUGGAGAGAGUGGUAAAACUGUGAUGCAAAAACUAAUAUAUAUCGUAGUUGGCAUUGAUAAGAAAAUAGCAAUGACUGAUGGAAGACCUUUUCUUUGCUUCCAGCACUUCCAACAACAUAGCAACCCAUGAGUUUGGCAAAUUGGCCAACAAGUUGACCUACUGCUCCAGAUGCUGCCGAAACAUAGACCGUCUCUCCUUUCUUAGGAGAGCAGAUCUCAUAGAGACCAGCAAAAGCAGUAAUCCCAGGCAUGCCUGAAUAACAAAGAUGAACCUUAAGCAUCAAGCCUGAAGCAGGCAGAUAUAUAUAUACAAGGAUAUUGGAAGUCAUACCAAGAAUUCCAGUAUAGUAAGAGAGAGGAAUAGAGGGGUCUUGGUGAAUCUUAAAGAGAGACUGCGUUGCUGUGAUGAGACUGUACUCUUCCCAGCCAGUAAUCCCCCAAAUGAAGUCGCCCUGCUCAAAUUUUGGAUCCCCAGAUUCCAAAACUCUAGCCACUCCAAAUCCGGUUAUAGGCUGCACGUACAUAUAAAUCAAAUUUGAGUAACAACCAUGGAAUUGAAAAAUAACAGAGACUGAGUGAGUGAGUGAGUACUGACGGAACCGGGAUGGAAGGUGUCGACGUAGGAGGCAGUUUCGCGUUUGGUCAUUCGGCCUCUCAUAUAAGGAUCGCAGGACAAGUAGAGAUUCUUGACGAGCACCCCUGUGGAACCUUGUGGCAGCUUCAGUGAGGUUGUAGAGGUCCUCAGCUCCAUGUCGGAUUCUUUGGGGAAGCCGGUGACAUAGUCUUUCAGUAUCACCUGCUUGUUGCUCAUCACUUGACACUCGCUCGCCAUGGCUACUUGCUCUUUAGAUCAAAUUCCCCCUCCAAUGCUUUGGUCAAACUAUAAACAACUUCGCCAAAACAAAAACAAAACUAUAAACAACUUCGCUUCGCUAAAGGUGGGCUGGGCGAAACCUGGAAGCAGUGAGCCUCUGCGGCCUUUACCGUAAUGAAUAAAAACUCUGAUAAAGCAUCAUGGAGUGGAGUAUGCCUCGAUCACUUUUGGAUGUAAAAUUAAGUUGUUUUGUUUUUAAUCUUCAGAUUUACAUCUAAUGGUGAUUGAUUAUACAUCAUUUUGUCAGUAACUGACUAGGUGAACAUGACUGACCGAGAAAAGACAAGUAUGGUGUCAUUUCAAACAUUGGCGAGUGCACAAGUGCAUUCAUAUCUUCCUCUCAAUAUUAGAUCGCACACCCAUUUUUCUCUUCAUACUUGAUAUUAAUGCAAGUACCAUCGUGAAAAUCAUACCACAUUUAUUAAGAUCACACAGCUCUCGUCAAUACACAACAGGCAAUAUCCAAAGCAGGCUAACCUAAUACCUGAUACAAGUUCUGAACAUACACCCAGGUGCACGUACUGCAGAUGCCCUUAAACAACUUAACAUAAAAACUAAACACUCGGACUUGAGAAGUGGGAUGGAUCUAGGCAGAUUAGUAAUCACUCCGUGGAACUACAACCACCUGCUUUCCCACAUUGCGGCCGGUUAGGAAUAGAAUUUCAUCAUUCCUGCGAGACAACAACAACUUGCUUUCCUACAUUUCGACCUGCAAAGAGUCCAACCAGAGCCGAUGGUGCGCUCUCGAGGCCUUCAACUACAUCUUCUACGUAUGUAACCUUCCCUUCUUUAAUGUGAGGAAUAACCAUUUCAAGAAACUUGCCAUACAGAUGAUAAUAACUAAAAACCGUAAAACCUUGCAUCCGGACCUCUUUGGUGACCAGAGACAUUAAGUUAUGUACACCUUCAGACUUCUCCAGGUUGUACUGUGAGAUCAUCCCACAAACUGCAAUUCGGCCGUGGGAUCUCAUGUUCAAUAGCACUGCAUCAAGCAUCUUUCCCCCAACAUUCUCAAAGUAAAUAUCGAUACCUUCAGGGAAGUACC